rnacentral:piRNA from 1 species
UUAGAAUCAAGCGAUAGUAUAGCACCAAU